GGUCAGCAAAACAGGCGAUCUGGAUUCCAACAAAUUCCACGAUGUCAAACUUGUGGAAAGAAUCAUUUCGGGGAGUGCAGGCUUCUAACUAAGAGCUUCUUCAAAUGUGGCAAGGGGGAUCAUUUUAUCAAAGAUUGUCCGUUGAUGAAGAACCAACAAAUGAAGGAUGAACCUCAAAGGACAAAUGCUAGGGUGUUCACGAUUACUCAGGCUGAUGCUGAUACCAACAACUCUGUUGUGUCAGGUAGAGAAAGAAAUGUGUGAAUGACAUGAGGAGAACUGAAGCAUGGUCCUGACCCUAAUUUGUACAUAUGAACAUAUCGACCUUUUGUGGGUUAUUUCAGUUAUCAGUGAGAUGUUUGUAAUAAAGUGUGAAGUUAUGUUUUGAAAAUAAAUUGGGUUAUUUAAUACUUA